ACGCACCUGGGUUGUCUCGAGCCUGCGGUAGUGGCCAGAUCCCAGACAUCCGAGUAGAUCCCGUGAAAAGACCACAUUUCCACUGGAGCAGUUGAAAUGAGAGAGAUGGGAAUGGGACUCACCCGAACCAGAGGAAUUUUUAUUACAGACCCAUUAACAGAGGUGUCAAAGUCACAGGAACAAGGAUGUGCACCUCAGAAACACAGAGGUCAGUGGAAAAUCAGUUUGCUUCUAUUUGUUUAAAAAAUGGGGGACUUAUGCAUAAAUCUAAGACCUUCUUGAAUCUAACAUUCUAAGACCUGUAUGCCACAGAAAGGAGGGUCUCAGAACGCCGGAGGAUAGUAUUUAAAUCUUAAAUAUCUAUAUUGUUCUCCACAGUUACUGGGUCACCACAUAGCAGGCAUUCAAUAAAAACGUGUUUGUUUACUAAGUAA
rnacentral:lncRNA from 1 species